UCUUUCACAGUGAAAUGUGUCACGCACUACAAUAUUUGAAAUUGGAUUGGAUUGGAUUGGAUUGAUGCAUUCGGAAAUCUCAGGUAAACAUAGAUUUAUAUUUCUCGGAAUACGCCUUGGGGAAAUAUCCGAGGAAAUAUCGAUGAGUGACGACGCAGAGCACACUGAAGAGGAAAGCUGCUCGGGUCGUCUUGUCUUGAUGAGCCAAGUGUCAAUAACCGAUAAGAGGAAAGCUGAUCAGGUUAUCCUGUCUUGAUGAGCCAAGUGUCAAUAACCUUGGGUUAUGAAUGUAAGAUGAUAAAAAAUCAUCUCAAGAAUCUGAUCAAAGGAUCUUAGGCACCUUUAUUGUGAUUCAGAAGGAAAUACUGGUCAUGCAUUUAGUUUUGACACCAGUGUGUAAGUUUACCUGCGCUGCACAAAAUUGGCUUGAAAUUCUCCAGUUGUGCUUUUUGUCAAGCCAUUACAAUCUCUCGCUCUGCUUAAUCUAAUUGAAUUGUAACUACAGAACGUGUUACAUUUCUCUGUGCCACGAGGUUAACUGACUGCCUACUCCAACUCCAGUCUUUCUUUUCCAAUAAUUGGAUCUAGCUGAGCUUGCAUGGAGUGCUAAAUGAGUUAGGAGCAAUUUAGACUCGAGUAAUGCCUUGAGUGAAGGCAGGGGCUAUUUUUGCAUGUGCACCAAUGCGUGUACAUACAAUCAAUGUAAUCGGCGUAACAUUUUUUUUUUUUUUUUAAAGUGAGGGUGUGUGUAUGUGACUGCUGUCAACACUGUUACGGGUGCCAUGACAGCUGCAGAGUAGAAGUGAGGACACCAAACUCCCAAAGCCCUGAUAGAUGAUGGGAGUAAAGGAAGGUGGUAGAUUAAGUAGAUAAGGGGAGGAAGGAUAAAGGAAGUAGGAAACGGGUGAAGAUGAAGCAGGAAGAAGAGGCGUUAGAUAAGCAAAGUGUGAGAGGAGGGGAUAAAGCAGCAAAAGGAAGAGGGAUUUGGUGAAGAGGGAAAGUGGAUCAAUGUGCAUACAGUCAUUGCUUAGUAGAGUAGCGCUUUUAUAAUUUAGAUGAGUGGUUGCCUGGAUUGUUUGUUGUGUGCGGUCUCCUUAAAGCGCUAUAAGAAGUAAAGGCACACAACAAAUUGCUAAGGAAGGAAAAUACAGAGAAGACUUUGAUUAAGAAGAUGGAAGGAAGAAGAAACAAGUAGUGAGGCAUUGUGGGUGGGGUGUGUGAGGAAGAACAAGGGGGAGAGGAACAUUAGCUCAGGGAGAGUGGGAAUUAGGGACCACGAAGGUGGAAGCGGUGGGUGUGGAUGGUUAUUGUAACAAAGCUUAAGAGCUCAAGAGAAGCACAAGUGUGUUACUAACGUCUUGAAGAGGCAAGUUUGGCCUAGAGAGAUGCCGAUUGAUGGGAAGGCAAAUGGAAGACGCAACGCAGUGAUCAAAAACAAGGCUGCCGUAUAUUGUUUCUCCCAUGUGUUUGCUUGACUUCACCCUUAUACAAGAGCCAAUAAGCCCCACAGUGUGCUACCGGGAGAACACAGACGUGACUUUCCGUUGAUGUUUUUAUUAGGUGACACUUUUUAAGGGUUCGGCAGUAACAUACUGUGUAAAGCUACCACCACAUAUGGGGCUACAUCUGGAAUUUCUUUGUAAGUAGUAUGAAAAUGCUCUAUCCAUCCAUCCAUCCAAGUUGAAACAUGUUCUUUUUCUUUUUUAGUUGUGUGCCUACGGUAGAUGCUUUGCUAACAGCUCUGCUCCAUUACAAUUGAAGGCACUCUCUUCCUUGCUAACAUGGCCGCCACUUCUGCCCAUACUUUAUUUUGAUGGGAAAGUCGCCCAUGCCAACCCGCAGGCUGCCACAGUGACACCCUUUUUAGCCUGCUCUAGUGUACUAUAAAAUCUGUUUAACUAUGACAAGGAGAAUAGCACAAGCCAACCACUCUGUUGAUGGCGCUGCAGCAUCAGUAAGCGUUUUCUAUUGUGGUUUAUGUGUUUUCGAAAAGCUGAAUUGAGCACAUUGUUGCUGUUACAU